CAGAGAGAGGAGAGAAGGAGUUGGUCAUAGAAGAUUACAAGAAAAGAGAAAAUGAGCAUAAGGUUAAGAACUAGAACACUGCUGGCAUCCACCAACCUUCCCCCACCAGCUUCCCCUCUCAGUUCACAAGCCUGCUCCUUUCCCUUGGAGGCUAGAUGCUGGGAUAAAAAUGCUCAAGUCUCCUUACACCCUUGAAGUGGGUAUCAAAGAAGCCUGGUCUGCCAGCCGAAGUGUUUA